rnacentral:rRNA from 1 species
UUAAAGGUACCCGUACCGCAAACCGACACAGGUGGGUGAGGAGAGUAUCCUAAGGCCCGCGAGAGAACUGUUGUUAAGGAACUCGGCAAAAUGACCCCGUAACUCAGGGAUAAGGGGUGCCACCAUCUGGUGGCCGCAGAGAAUAGGCCCAAGCGACUGUUUACCAAAAACAUAGGUUUCUGCUAAGUCGCAAGACGAUGUAUAGGAGCUGACGCCUGCCCGGUGCUGGAAG